GCUGGGCAUAGUGGUGUGUGCCUGUAGUCCCAGCUACUAGGGAGGCUGAGGUGGGAGGAUUGCUUGAGCCCAGGAGGUUGAGGCUGCAGUGAGCUGAUUGUGCCACUACACUCCAGCCUGGCAACAGAGCAAGAUCCUAUCUCAA
rnacentral:SRP_RNA from 2 species